rnacentral:misc_RNA from 1 species
GAUGAAGAACGUAGCGAAAUGCGAUACUUGGUGUGAAUUGCAGAAUCCCGUGAACCAUCGAGUCUUUGAACGCAAGUUGCGCCCGAAGCCAUUAGGCCGAGGGCACGCCUGCCUGGGCGUCACACGUCGUUGCCCCCCCCCAUCUACUCCUUCGGGAUUGCGGGGGGCGGAUGAUGGCCUCCCGUGUGCCUCGCCGCGCGGUUGGCAUAAAUACCAAGUCCUCGGCGACGCACGCCACGACAAUCGGUGGUUGCGAAACCUCGGUUGCCCGUCGUGUGCGGUCGUCGCGCAUCGAGGGCUCGAAAAAAUUGCCGGGUUCCGGCUCGGCUUUCAACGCGACCCCAGGUCAGGCGGGGUUACCCGCUGAAUUUAAGCAUAUCAAUAAGCGGAGGA